UAUAAGUAUGGCCUGGGGAGUGAAACUGUUUCUGAUGUACCAAUGCCAUAUCUAAAAGCUCAACGCACACAGUGACCUGGAUACCACCCCCCUUGCCUAUUUAGAUAGGCAAUCGCUGUCGUAUUGUCCAAUUGCAACUGCACUGUUUGCCUCUUCAGCAUAGGCAGAAGUGCUUUCAUGGCUUGAAACUCUGCCAGGGAGUUAUUCACACUAGGCUUCAGAGUAAACCUUGAGCGAAGCCACUUCAAAGUACACUCGCGGCAUUGAGGGAAGCAGCCCCCACCUCUGCUCUCAGUUUUCUUUUGAAACAAUCCCACAUGGCAUGCUCCGUGUUUUCCUUCUAGCCAAUGUGGUGGUGGUGGGGAGGUCCUGCAGAGAUAGAUCUGCAUUUCUGAAGAGAGCAUGCCUCUUAUCAUGCUAAUGAUUCUAUUUCAGUGCCUCUCCCAUUUGCUCCGGUGUUUUCAGAAAAAGUACCUUAAAACCAGCAUUUUAAAAACCCAGACAAAUGUCAAGAUAAGCUAGAAUUCACAUCACAAAGCCCGGUUUGUGUGCAGAGAGGUCCAAGAAUCUCGAAGGGACUCCGAGGUAAGUUUGGCUGGUGUGUGAACGCACACACUCUCUUUUGAAUAUUAUUUGGGGCAGAAGACCUGUGUGUAAAGCCUCCAGGGGCUCCAAGAAAUUGAUAUGGAGCUGUCUCCACUGGUAGCUCCACUGUCCCUGUACCAUACUGCCAUUGCAGUGACCUCCGCAGCCCAACGUUGAGGCAUCCGUUGUAACCCACACCCUGGGAGAUUCCAGUUGAAACAAGACGCCUUGUAGUAGGUUCUCAGUGUGAAUCCACUAACCCAAAGACUGGAGUAUUUACAGUGGUAUGUUCAAGCGUUUUGGGGAUCUGUCCACAUUCAGGUGGAAGGUGAAUAUGAACGACAGCUUUCUCAUUUUCAGGUGUGUGCAGCGAACCGUUGUCUUUCAAGAGGCCACGAGGCCUAGGAGGCAUUGAACCUACCACGUACAUUGUGUUGGGUUCAACUGGAACUGACACACGAGCUCCGAGAUGGCUUGGAAUCUCUCCUGAAGCACAGAAGCAUCUCCUACAGCCAGUGUACGCACCCAAAGAACCUGGGAGUAAGCAGUCAUCAACGGAUUCUGUCUCUCAAAUGUGGACUUCCACAACCUGUCUUCCUGAACUCACAAAGGAAAAGGAACCAGUAUGAAGGAGCCGCAGUGACCGAGGAACUGAUCGCUACGGCAGCUGCAAAGGAACUGAAGUACUGGUGCUUCCUCCCACCUUAAAUAAUCACGUGGGGCAGGGCACAAGCGCCGUGAGGAGCCGUGGUAGUCCACACCAAUAGGCAUUAGUGCAGGCACAGAACCAAUUUCUAAUGGAUUCAAUGGAUCAUGAACCAGAUAUAAAAGUUAUAUUUUCCCACUGAUUAUACAGUCAUGAUCCAGACUGGUCCCCUAUGUGUACUAUUUAUGUUAGGAAAAUCAGGCACGUGGCCUCAGGUUUAAAUCAGAUGAGGUAUUAAACACAUCAGCUAUGUCAUGUUUUACUCACUACUGUUUAAGGGCAUACAGGAAACAAUACAGACUCGGAUCAUGGCAUGGUUGAAUGGGGGUUUAACCCUGUGCCCCAGCAUUAUUGUCCCAUAAAAUUUGCCCAUGGAAGGGGCUAUAUUUUCAGCAAUAGCAUUUUUGGGGAAAGAUUUUAGCAGCAAAAUAGCACAGGCCAAAGGAAUACAUAGGAAGUACUACCUCGUACCAACCUUUGGUCUCAGUAUUGUCUAUACUAACUUGCAACAGGUUUCCAAGGUUCCAGGCAGGAGUCUUUCCCAGUCCUAUCUGGAGAUGCCAGGAAGUUUGGUGCACGGCGCUAUCAAUAUGCUUAUGAUAUCCAGAUCUGUUUCUCCAUGUUGACCUCAACAGGAAAUGGCAUAUCUUCACUAAACUCCUGCUUGGAGGUGGUAAUGGGCUGGAUGAGGGAUAACAAACUGAAGUUGAAUCUCUCUGGUUCUCAGGUUGAGGCAGUGACCACAAGUGCUUUUUAUCAGCUUUGGCUGAUACAUCAGCUACAUCCAUUUCUGGAGGUAAAUCACCUUAAAACAUUGCUACAUAUGCUGGUAACCUUCAGGCUUGACUACUUUAAUACUCUACGUGAGCCUGAUUUUGUACAUAAUCCAGAAACUACAAUUGAUACAGAAUGCGGCAGCCGGAUUGAUCUCUGGGACAACCCGAAGGGACCACUUAACACUGAUUUUAAAAGAAUUGCACUGGCUGCCAAUAUGUUUCUGAGAGAAAUACAAAGUGCUGGUUAUUACCUAUAAAGCCCUUAAUGGCUUGGGCCCAGGGUAUUUAAGAGAGAGUGCCUUCUUUGUCACAAGCCCAGCCACCUAUUAUGAUCUUCAUAAUCAUUUGGUGGCGACUUGGGACCGGGUUUUCUCUGUGGCUGCCACAGGGCUUUGGAAUAUGCCCCCUGUUGAAAUAAGAACAUUUCUUUCCCUGCUUGUUUUCAGGAAGUUGCUCAAGACACAUCUGUU